rnacentral:lncRNA from 1 species
UGUGACCUGUCUCUUUAACAUACGCAGCUGCAGGUGAGCGCGUGAGGCGGCUCCAGCAAUGCUGACUGCUCAUCGACGUUAUUAGACGUCUGUGUCGCGGGCCUAAAUUUGUCGCACAGACACGCCGGUUGCCUCACCUGGAUUUACGCAGACAGUCUGACCCCCAAACUACGAGGACUCCAAUUUGAGAAGCACAGUGUUCGAGGACCUCAGAGUAAAGCUGAAGGAAACCAGCUGCUUCACGUCAAUGUAUUUUCAACCAAUGCCAAUAAAAUCCUGAUGAAACGGCAUCAGCUCAGUAGCCCGGACUCAGCUUUGUGUUCUUCAAGAGUGUGAGUCUUCAUUAAAACUUCAAUAUUUUAUGGUUGUGGUGUUUGAACUGGGAUCAGCAUGUUUUUGAUGUGUCACUUCUGUAACACAUUGGCAUCUGAUGAAAUGAUAUCAUGCAUCU